AUACGGGCCAGACUCCUACGGGAGGCAGCAGUAGGGAAUAUUGGACAAUGGGUGCGAGCCUGAUCCAGCCAUGCCGCGUGCAGGAAGACGGCCUUCUGGGUUGUAAACUGCUUUUGCCAGGGGAUAAAACGGCUCUGCGGAGCUAAUUGAAGGUACCUGGUGAAUAAGCCACGGCUAACUACGUGCCAGCAGCCGCGGUAAUACGUAGGUGGCAAGCGUUGUCCGGAUUUAUUGGGUUUAAAGGGUGCGUAGGUGGUUCCAUAAGUCAGUGGUGAAAUACGGCAGCUUUACUGUCGAGGUGCCAUUGAUACUGCGGAACUUGAGUACAGACGAGGUAGGCGGAAUUAGACGGUGUAGCGGUGAAAUGACUUAGAUAUCGUCAAGAACACCGAUAGCGAAGGCAGCUUACUAGACUGUAACUGACACUGAGGCACGAAAGUGUGGGGAUCAAACAGGAUUAGAUACCCUGGUAGUCCACACUGUAAACGAUGAUUACUCGAUGUUGGCGAUACACAGCCAGCGUCUUAGCGAAAGCGAUAAGUAAUCCACCUGGGGAGUAC
rnacentral:rRNA from 1 species